rnacentral:rRNA from 1 species
UACGGAGGGUGCAAGCAUUAAUCGGAUUUAUUGGGCGUAAAGGGCGCGUAGGCGGGUUAGUAAGUCGAAUGUGAAAUACCAAAGCUCAACUUUGGGGCUGCAUUUGAAACUACUAGUCUGGAGGAUUGACGGAGAAAAUGGAAUUCCACGUGUAGCGGUGAAAUGCGUAGAUAUGUGGAAGAACACCUGUGGCGAAAGCGAUUUUCUAGUUUAUACCUGACGCUGAGGCGCGAGAGCAAGGGGAGCAAACAGG